UAGGGAAUCUUCGGCAAUGGACGAAAGUCUGACCGAGCAACGCCGCGUGAGUGAAGAAGGUUUUCGGAUCGUAAAACUCUGUUGUUAGAGAAGAACAAGGACGUUAGUAACUGAACGUCCCCUGACGGUAUCUAACCAGAAAGCCACGGCUAACUACGUGCCAGCAGCCGCGGUAAUACGUAGGUGGCAAGCGUUGUCCGGAUUUAUUGGGCGUAAAGCGAGCGCAGGCGGUUUCUUAAGUCUGAUGUGAAAGCCCCCGGCUCAACCGGGGAGGGUCAUUGGAAGCUGGGAGACUUGAGUGCAGAAGAGGAGAGUGGAAUUCCAUGUGUAGCAGUGAAAUGCGUAGAUAUAUGGAGGAACACCAGUGGCGAAGGCGGCUCUCUGGUCUGUAACUGACGCUGAGGCUCGAAAGCGUGGGGAGCAAACAGG
rnacentral:rRNA from 1 species